rnacentral:misc_RNA from 1 species
UCAUUUUUUAUCUGUUCCACACGCAGUUUCAGAACGGAUGUCAAGCUUCGGUACGGCCGCUAGUAAAUUUCUGGAAAAACAGCGAUAAAAACCGAAAUAAAGUCAAAUAGUUUAUAAAAAACAUCCAAACGUUCAACAUUUAUAUCCUCUCCACCGAAAAUGUCCCACACGAUUUUAUUGGUUCAACCUGGGCCUAGGCCUGAAACGAGGACUUAUUCCGACUAUGAGAGCGUCAACGACUGUAUGGAAGGCGUAUGUAAAAUAUACGAGGAGCAUCUGAAAAGACGAAAUCCUAAUACUCCGACUAUCACUUAUGAUAUAUCGCAAUUGUUCGAUUUUAUUGAUCAGCUCGCAGACCUAAGCUGUCUAGUCUACCAGAAAUCCACAAACACGUACGCACCAUACAACAAAGACUGGAUUAAAGAGAAGAUCUACGUCUUACUACGCCAAGCCGCUGGCCAGGGCGAUUAGUUCACAUCUUUCUUUCUAAAACGGAGUACAGAUGCAUGGAGUAAGUAUGUAAGUACUGUAGAUAUAUGUAGUCUUACUACAAAAACUUAAACAUGUGUCGAACACUUGUCUAAAAAAAGUGGCUGCAAAACGGACCUUAUUUCGACUUCGUAAUUUAACAUUUUUUUAGACAAGUGUUAAACUGAAGUUUAAAAGUUUUUGUGGUACGACGGAUGGGGUUUAGCAUUUGUAAUUGAAUAACUUUCGUACAAAAUUGUCUUUGUCUAUCGGUUAAUGGUAAUAAGCCAACUCGGUUAUUUUUGCUUGGGGUGAAUUGUACUAUAUGUAACUAUUAUGAGAUUGAGACCAAUUUGUCUACAAUUUGACAACUGAAAAUGGUUCAGUUAUCAAUUUAGUUAAAUGGUGAAAUUCACCAUUAUCCAUCUUGUAUAUUAUUCUAUGAUACUUAAUUUUUUUGUUUCAAUCUGCAAAAAAUUUGCUCAGAUAAUCCGAUCAGUGGUCACUAUGUUUGCUUUGUACUAUUGUUCUAGUGCCUUUUCCCAAUCAAUGAUGUUGACAAGACUUUUAAAUUAAAUACAGCAAUAAUUUUUGAUAAUUGUUGGUUGACAUUAAAAUUUCCUUCCUUCCCAUUCCUUAAAAACUGUCUUAUAUUUCUUCUAAAACUGGGUUCACAAGUACGAACAUAAGGCGUCAAUUUUACUACAUACUUUCCUUACCUUGAGAGUUAUAAGGUAAAUAUUUAUAUGAAUAUUCUUAUUUACUCCAUGUGCCUCGUACUCCAAUAAUAAUUAGUUUAGUGAUAUUUGAAGGCAAUUUCUAUGAAAAUCAUCUAUCAGUCUUACCCAACUGUGCAAAAAAGGCUUUUAAAUCAGUUUUGAAUAAGGGUAAAAUGGGGGUUUGUAUGAUUCUCCUCUAGUAAGUUUGCUAACCUGAAGUUAGCAGUAACAUAAAAAAAUUGCCUCCAAAAAAUCACCAGUAAUUUGUAAAAUAUAUCUCAAAAUAUGUUUUCGUUUUAAUUAUUUUUUUGUUGGUAUAUAACAAAGACUAUUUCGAUAUUAGUUCUUCAAUAAGUACCUAAUUAAAUCUGUGUGGUGAGGAAAAUAAAUAAUGUUAAUUAUUAAUUUAAUAUUAAUAAUAAAUCAGUUUUUUGAUGCACAGUGUGGUUGAGUGUGAUUACAAUUUAAAUUUCAAGAGAGCUCAAAAAAAGCAGGACUGCUUGCUUAAAACUUCUCAAAAGUGUAUCAAAAAUAACUUUUCAAGUAAGAAAAUAGAUCAUAAAACAAAGUAUAGUUUUCAUAAAAUAACUAUGCCACUCCGAAGUUAGCUACAAAUGACUUCACAUUAGUCAAAAUGUACUAAAAAGUCUGUAUUACUUAUCUAAAAGUCAUUUUCAAUAUUCCAUUACUUAUCUGUUGAUUUUCUUCCUACAGACAGGAAUUCAACAUAACUUGAAUAGGGCUAAUGAAAGAAUUAACAAUAAAUUCUAUAAACAAUACCAACAAAUACAAUUAUAUAAGGAACAAAAACAAAAGUAUAGAAUAAAGAGAACAACCUUUAGCCAGCUAUACCUAUGCGAUGAGUCAAAUAGCUUUUUUUUUUAACGACAUCAAAAAUCAUCAAAUGACCCGUCCCGCUCUUACUGACUAAAAACCGUCGUGUUCCGUCGUAGGCCUUUUAUGUACCAGGGCCGCGGUAUCUCUUUCGAACAACCCGCAGCCCAUGAGUCAAAUAGCUAACUUCACACUGGCAAAGUUGUUUUCUGAAAGCCGCUUUCCUGCUGAUUUAGAGUUUCAAAAUAACUUUCUACUACGCUGUUGUGUGUGCGUCUAAUUUAAUAAGGAAACACGUCCAUUUUUAACUUCAAAAAGUUCAAAAAUACGUCGGUAUCAUUUUUUUCUGUCAUUUCAUCAGCGGGUCAAUUGAAAAAGUAAUGAUUGUUAUAUACAAUUAUAAAUAUAUUCAGAUUAUUUGUCGUGCGGUAUAAUUAUCGGCACGAAUCUUGAGCGCUGACCUUCACCUGCGCAGAAGUAAUUUAUUGUCUCCCUUUUGUGGUAUGAAGUGAGGCGCGGGGGCGGGCUAAAGCGGUGAUUGGCCCGCAGUGCAUCGCGUCAUAGCCGUCACUCGGGAUUGCCAAUAAAUCACUUCUGCGCAGAUGAAGGUCAGCGCUCAAGAUUCGUGCCGAUGAUUCUAAUCCGCUAUUAAAAAGGGCUCUAAAACUGGAUUUUAGAAUGCGCCUUAUUGUUUUAACCAUAAAGUUGAUUUUCACCAUUUAACUAUAGCGAUAACCAAACCAUAACCAGCCGUAUACUUGCCGCCCAUUGGUCACAUCGGCGAUUUGACUACUGAAAAUGGCUCGGCUAUAGUUAAAUGGUGCAAUUCACCGCAGCUAGAUAAAUUGAUCAGCUAAAUUAAAAUUAAAAACGAAGAUCGCUAUAUUUUCUUUAAAACAAAUGAUUAAUUAUUAUUAAUUAGUGUGUUUUUAAGGGUGCGUCUACACGGUGCAUGUAGCUGGAGCAAGUUAACAUGCGCAAGUGACAAGAGCACGCGGGUGGGUAUUUUGCUUUGGUACAUGCGCGAGUCGCUGGACGUUUUUAAAAUGCAUGUAACCUGCGCAUGUGCCUCAACAUGCGCAAGCUACUUGCACCGUGUAGAAGCGCCCUUAUUUUAAGUUAUGUAGGUACAAGAUGUGUAAGUCAUUUUUUUUACUUCCUCAUUUAUUUGUUACUCUCUAUGUUUAAGAUAGAUACUAUUAAGUACCUAAGUAAGUGUAAAAUAAAAAUUUGGCAAUAAUA